AUACAUGUAUACUUACAUUAUUUUUAUAGCACCAUCAAGUAAUGCACCUUCUCCAUAUGUUGAGAGAUCAGAUUUCCAUGAGCAAGAAUUUCACAAUCAAGCAACAAAACACUUAAUAAUACGCUG